rnacentral:misc_RNA from 1 species
AAGUCGUAACAAGGUCUCCGUAGGUGAACCUGCGGAGGGAUCAUUACCGAGCGAGGGCCCCCGGGCCCGACCUCCAACCCUUUGUAUUCCGACUCUGUUGCCUCGGGGGCGACCCGGCCUUCGGGCGUCGGGGCCCCCGGUGGACUCCUCCAACCCUGCAUCGUUGCGUCCGAGUCACACUUUGAAUUAAAUCAAAA